GCAUAACGCGAAGAACCUUACCUACUCUUGACAUCUACGGAAGACUGCAGAGAUGCGGUUGUGCCUCCGGGAACCGUAAGACAGGUGCUGCAUGGCUGUCGUCAGCUCGUGUUGUGAAAUGUUGGGUUAAGUCCCGCAACGAGCGCAACCCCUAUCCUUAGUUGCCAGCGAGUUAAGUCGGGAACUCUAGGGAGACUGCCGGUGAUAAGCCGGAGGAAGGUGGGGACGACGUCAAGUCAUCAUGGCCCUUACGAGUAGGGCUACACACGUGCUACAAUGGUACGUACAGAGGGAGGCAAGCUGGCGACAGUGAGCGGAUCUCUUAAAGCGUAUCGUAGUCCGGAUCGCAGUCUGCAACUCGACUGCGUGAAGUCGGAAUCGCUAGUAAUCGCAAAUCAGAAUGUUGCGGUGAAUACGUUCCCGGGUCUUGUACACACCG
rnacentral:rRNA from 1 species